rnacentral:SRP_RNA from 1 species
GCCGGGUACAGUGACUUAUCCCUGUAGUCUCAGGUACUCAGGAGGCUGAGGCUGGAGGAUCGCUUGAGUCCAGGAGUUCUGGACUGUAGUGCACUAUGCUGGUUGGGUGUCCGCACUAAGUAUGGUAUCAAUAUGGUGGCCUCCUGGGAGCAAGGGAACACCAGGUUUGCCUACUGAGGGGUGAGCUGACCCAGGUCAGAAAUGGAGCGGGUCGAAACUCCCAUGCUGAUCCGUAGCGGGAUUGUGCCUAUAAAUAACUGCUGCACUCCAGCCUGGGCAACAGAGCGAUACCCUGUCUCU